GACGAACGCUGGCGGCGUGCUUAACACAUGCAAGUCGAACGAAGAGCGAUGGACGCUUGCUUCUAUCAAUCUUAGUGGCGACCGGGUGAGUAACGCGUAAUCAACCUGCCCUUCAGAGGGGGACAACAGUUGGAAACGACUGCUAAUACCGCAUACGAUCUAAUCUCGGCAUCGAGGAUAGAUGAAAGGUGGCCUCUACAUGUAAGCUAUCACUGAAGGAGGGGAUUGCGUCUGAUUAGCUAGUUGGAGGGGUAACGGCCCACCAAGGCGAUGAUCAGUAGCCGGUCUGAGAGGAUGAACGGCCACAUUGGGACUGAGACACGGCCCAGACUCCUACGGGAGGCAGCAGUGGGGAAUCUUCCGCAAUGGACGAAAGUCUGACGGAGCAACGCCGCGUGAGCGAUGACGGCCUUCGGGUUGUAAAGCUCUGUUAAUCGGGACGAAAGGCCUUCUUGCGAAUAGUGAGAAGGAUUGACGGUACCGGAAUAGAAAGCCACGGCUAACUACGUG
rnacentral:rRNA from 1 species